UAAGUCGAAGAUAGACACAAAAUGCUGGAGUAACUCAGCGGGUCAGACCGCAUCGCUGGAGAAGAGGAACGGGUGACGUUUCAGGUUGUGA